CCCCUUUGGGGUUGGAGAACCCCCGGGAACUGGGGCUAAUCCCCAAUAGAUAUGGAGGCCUGGAAUGGUUCCAUAUUCAAAUGCAUAACAACCAUGUUUGUUAUGUGCCAAAGGAUGGGGCUGCGGCUGAUCAGGCAGUUGGUGAGGUAACGGCUCACCAAACCUUUGACCAGUACGGGCCGUGAAAGCGGUAGCCCGGAGAUGGGUACUGAGACAAGGACCCAGGCCCUACGGGGCGCAGCAGGCGCGAAAACUCCACAAUGUACGCAAGUACGAUGGGGUUACCUUGAGUGCAGUCUGAAAAAGGUUGCUUUUCCAUAGAGUAAUAUCCUAUGGGAAUAAGAGGGGGGCAAGACUGGUGUCAGCCGCCGCGGUAACACCAGCCCCUCGAGUGGUGGGGACUUUUAUUUGGCCUAAAGCGUCCGUAGCUGGCUGUUUCCGUCCCCCGUUAAAUCCAGCGUCUCAAGCGUUGGACUGCGGGUGAUACCAAACAGCUAGAGGGUGGGAGAGGUCAGCGGUAUUACUGGGGUAGGGGCGAAAUCCUUUGAUCCCAGGAGGACCACCAGUGGCGAAGGCUGCUGACUAGAACACGCCUGACGGUCAGGGACGAAAGCUGGGGCAGCGAACCGGAUUAGAUACCCGGGUAGUCCCAGCUGUAAACGAUGCUCGCUAGGUGUUGGGUCGGCCAUGCGCCGCCCCAGUGCCGCAGGGAAGCCGUUAAGCGAGCCGCCUGGGGAGUACGGCCGCAAGGCUGAAACUUAAAGGAAUUGGCGGGGGAGCAC
rnacentral:rRNA from 1 species